UUGGGUCGCCGAGCGAGAUGACUGGGUGCGCCCAGAUAAACAAGUCAGACACGCAGUCGGUAGUAAGGGAUGGGCCCAAAACGGCAGGGCCAAGGCGAGGGAGCAUUUUUGUUACCGAAAAGCCCCUGAAGCAAUAAUUGAAGAACAUUAGGUUAGCUGAAAAGCAUUUGGCUCGCUGAGAAGGUCGGCUUGGGUGUUUUGUGUUUGCAGGGCAGCACCUGUUGUAAUGUCCCUGUAGACGCCUGUAGACGUUUUACCCCCACACCUCCAUUUUUUAAACAUUUUUCUCGCAUGGAGAAUUGGUUGGUGAUUUGGCCGGCUAGAGAUAUCCGAUUGAUCUGCUGCUGAUCCUCCAUCUAGGUUUCAGGAUCCGACCGGACCUCUGUGUGACUGAAAUGAACCACCUGUUACCUUCAAAUACAAGUGAGGAAAAGGUCGAGUGAAGACAAUAGAUCAAUCCCUUUGGCAACAGGCAUCGGGCUAAAUACUGAGCCUACAAAGUGAGUGCAAUACUGUCCCUGCCUUCAAGAAGCUUACAAUCUAGUAGAGGACACAGGCAUGUAAAUACAUAAGCACAGUUGAGAGAGAUGCUUGCGAUAAAGGGAGACAUGCGGAGAGCUGGAAUAGAGGAAUUGAAGGGGUUGGUGGAGCACAAGGGGACCGCAGCGUGUUGAGGAGGAAAUGCAGGGUGUGAAGAAAGAAUACUUAAGAUGCUCCUUCUUGCCACCCUGUCACAGUCCAUUAUCUGCCUGGCUGCUGCAUUGCAAAUAUAGCGUGAAUGACAAAAUAAAGCCACUGCGUGUGCCCGUGGUUCCUCACCCUGGACACCUACACUUGGAGUGUGGAAUUCUAACUCUUUCGCCUGGUAUGUGAGACUCGGCCUAAGCUGGCUUCCUGCCCAGAUUUAUCUAUUGCCACUCUUCUCACUGACUCGACUGGUCGGAACGGAAUGUGUUCUCAACACGCUGCGGCUUUUCCUUGCUCCUGGGAUGCCCUCCCCAUUGCAGGGUCUCCCUGUCAGGAUUCAGCCAAAAUGGAACAACCUCUCUGAAGUCUUCCUCAAUGUCACCUUCAGUCUGGGUGAAUGAGCACACAAAAGGCCAAAGGCACCUGCAUCAGGCAGCUGGGAGGAGCUCAUUUCUAAACAGCUUGAACCUAGGGGCGCCUGGGUGGCUCAGUCGGUUGAGCGUCCAACUUCGGCUCAGGUCACGAUCUCCCGGUUCGUGG